rnacentral:rRNA from 1 species
UACAGAGGGUGCGAACGUUGCUCGGAAUUACUGGGCGUAAAGCGCGUGUAGGCGGCCUGUUAAGUUGGUAGUGAAAUCCCAUGGCUCAACCAUGGAAGUGCUGCCAAAACUGGCAGGCUGGAGUGCCGGAGAGGGUGGCGGAAUUCCCAGUGUAGAGGUGAAAUUCGUAGAUAUUGGGAGGAACACCAGUGGCGAAGGCGACCACCUGGACUGUAACUGACGCUAAGACGCGAAAUCUUGGGGAGCAAACAGG